rnacentral:rRNA from 1 species
CCUACGGGAGGCAGCAGUGAGGAAUAUUGGUCAAUGGGAGAGAUCCUGAACCAGCCAAGCCGCGUGAGGGAAGACGGCCCUAUGGGUUGUAAACCUCUUUUGUCGGAGAACAAAACCCGGGACGUGUCCCGUACUGCGUGUAUCCGAAGAAAAAGCAUCGGCUAACUCCGUGCCAGCAGCCGCGGUAAUACGGAGGAUGCGAGCGUUAUCCGGAUUUAUUGGGUUUAAAGGGUGCGUAGGCGGUCCGUUAAGUCAGCGGUAAAAUUGCGGGGCUCAACCCCGUCGAGCCGUUGAAACUGGCAGACUUGAGUUGGCGAGAGGUACGCGGAAUGCGCGGUGUAGCGGUGAAAUGCAUAGAUAUCGCGCAGAACUCCGAUUGCGAAGGCAGCGUACCGGCGCCAGACUGACGCUGAGGCACGAAAGCGUGGGGAUCGAACAGGAUUAGAUACCCUUGUAGUC